rnacentral:rRNA from 1 species
GACGAACGCUGGCGGCGUGCUUAACACAUGCAAGUCGAACGGAAAGGCCCUGCUUUUGUGGGGUGCUCGAGUGGCGAACGGGUGAGUAACACGUGAGUAACCUGCCCUUGACUUUGGGAUAACUUCAGGAAACUGGGGCUAAUACCGGAUAGGAGCUCCUGCUGCAUGGUGGGGGUUGGAAAGUUUCGGCGGUUGGGGAUGGACUCGCGGCUUAUCAGCUUGUUGGGGGGGUAGUGGCUUACCAAGGGUUUGACGGGUAGCCGGCCUGAGAGGGUGACCGGCCACAUUGGGACUGAGAUACGGCCCAGACUCCUACGGGAGGCAGAAGUGGGGAAUAUUGCACAAUGGGCGGAAGCCUGAUGCAGAAACGCCGCGUGCGGGAUGACGGCCUUCGGGUUGUAAACCGCUUUCGCCUGUGACGAAGCGUGAGUGACGGUAAUGGGUAAAGAAGCACCGGCUAACUACGUG